rnacentral:rRNA from 1 species
UACGAAGGGGGCUAGCGUUGCUCGGAAUUACUGGGCGUAAAGGGCGCGUAGGCGGACAUUUAAGUUAGAGGUGAAAGCCCAGGGCUCAACCCUGGAAUAGCCUUUAAUACUGGAUGUCUUGAGUUCGGGAGAGGUGAGUGGAAUGCCGAGUGUAGAGGUGAAAUUCGUAGAUAUUCGGCGGAACACCAGUGGCGAAGGCGACUCACUGGCCCGAUACUGACGCUGAGGCGCGAAAGCGUGGGGAUCAAACAGG